CCAGCUUCUGAUGUCACCAACUCCCUACACCAAGUAUCAGAGCUCGUGGGAACCCGGACAGGAAGUUGGUCAGCUUAACUUCCUAAAGUCGAACUUCCGGGAUUCUGGGAGGCCUAGGGGCCUGGGCCUGAGGCGUCGUCGGUUCAGGGCUAGUCUGGGCCUGCUGGGGUCAGGAGGCUCAGUCUUUGUUUGUCCCUCAACUUCCUAGGAAUGACAGCAAAGAGAGAACCAGAUAUUGGUGACAUCAGAGACGCUGCAGAACAUCUGCUGAUCCUGAACAUCUCCUUUAAUCUGUGGAUGGGUUCUGUGGACUGAGCCUAGAGCCUUUGUUUUGACCUACAUCCCCAGCUCUUCUCAGAGACAGAAGCUCACUAAAUUGCCCAGGUAAUCCCAAAGAUUUAGAUGACAAAGGUAACUGAGACCUGGAAUGCUGACCCUAACAUGAGCUCUGCAAAACAUUAAAAUUCUUGUGAAUCAGCAGAGAAGUAGCAGGUCACAUGCGUGCUGUGUGUUAUAACUUUUAAGAUUAAUGACCACAUGCUACCUCAUCUUAAGGUCAAAGUCUGGACAGCUUUAGUGACUUUUGGUGUGUCAUUAUUUGUGAAGGCCUGGAUAACUUCCUGGCUAAGCAAAUAGCUGGUUCAGAUCAACACCCCAUCUCCGGUCACGCUAGCAAUUUUGCUUUGUUUUGAGACAGGGUCUUGCUAUGCAGUUCAGUCGAGGUUUGCUCUAAACGCACUAU